GAUACGGGUGCCGCGGGAGGCCGAUUGCAAGUGUCGACAAGCAAUCGGAACGCGAAUUAAGACCUGUUGGUUGAGCUGGUUCUCUUGGGUGGCUAAACCCACUGAGGACUAUGGACAAUAGUCUCACCCCCGUGUUGCUGUUUUGGGGGUACAGGUACACACGUGUGCGGCGCGGCGGCGCAAGGCGAGGGCGUAGUUCUGCAGAUAGCGCCCUACCCCAGAGACCAGAGCUAGCAGUACCCCAUCUAUAUAGCUUAGGGGUAAAGGAAAUGAAAAGAAUACAAUGUAUCAAACUUGUAGUAAGUAAA